CUGCCCUUGUGAUCUAGCGUUGGUCGGCUAGUCGUGAGUGCCAGCAACCACCUUGUUAUCGGCUUGAGUUUCUGGCAUUUGGGCUUCCAGUGGCAGCUUUGUCCGGUUUUUGGUCAUUUCAGGCAGUAAAGGAAGAGUGAAGAAUUCCAGCAGCCAACAACCCUUAACGGCAGCCCUCAUUCCAGCAUUUCUUUGUUCCAACAGCAAUCAACCUAAAUGGGGCAGUAACUCUUCAAUUCCAGCAUCUUCUUGUUCUUGAAUAAAGCUGUGGAACUUGAGGACCUUGACGCGAGACGAGUAUCUCGG